AAGACACUAGUAAAAUCGCCAUUACUCUGCCUUGUCGAGACAGAUUUGUGGGUUGAAACCCCACGUGCCUUA
rnacentral:tRNA from 1 species